rnacentral:rRNA from 1 species
UACAUAGGGUGCGAGCGUUGUCCGGAAUUAUUGGGCGUAAAGAGCUCGUAGGCGGUGUGUCGCGUCGGCCGUGAAAACCUGCAGCUUAACUGUGGGCUUGCGGUCGAUACGGGCAUCACUGGAGUUCGGCAGGGGAGACUGGAAUUCCUGGUGUAGCGGUGAAAUGCGCAGAUAUCAGGAGGAACACCGGUGGCGAAGGCGGGUCUCUGGGCCGAAACUGACGCUGAGGAGCGAAAGCGUGGGUAGCGAACAGG